AAUAAAGUGCCUGAAUCAAAAGGAUUAUUUUGAUAGAAUAAAUUAUGUGAUAUUUCACCUUUAUUA
rnacentral:tRNA from 1 species